GAGUUUGAUCCUGGCUCAGGAUGAACGCUAGCGGCAGGCCUAACACAUGCAAGUCGAGGGGUAACAGAGAGUGCUUGCACUCUGCUGACGACCGGCGCACGGGUGCGUAACGCGUAUACAAUCUACCUUGUACUGGAGAAUAGCCCAGAGAAAUUUGGAUUAAUGCUCCAUAGUAUGUCGACCUCGCAUGGGGAUGACAUUAAAGAUUACGGUAUAAGAUGAGUAUGCGUCCUAUUAGCUAGAUGGAGUGGUAACGGCACCCCAUGGCAACGAUAGGUAGGGGCCCUGAGAGGGGGAUCCCCCACACUGGUACUGAGACACGGACCAGACUCCUACGGGAGGCAGCAGUGAGGAAUAUUGGACAAUGGAGGCAACUCUGAUCCAGCCAUGCCGCGUGCAGGAAGACUGCCCUAUGGGUUGUAAACUGCUUUUAUACAGGAAGAAACACCUCUACGUGUAGAGGCUUGACGGUACUGUAAGAAUAAGGAUCGGCUAACUCCGUGCCAGCAGCCGCGGUAAUAAGGGCGA
rnacentral:rRNA from 1 species